rnacentral:rRNA from 1 species
GAUGAACGCUAGCUACAGGCUUAACACAUGCAAGUCGCGGGGCAGCAUGGGGGUUGCUUGCAAUCCCCGAUGGCGACCGGCGCACGGGUGAGUAACGCGUAUCCAACCUGCCCUUCACCACGGGAUAACCCGGCGAAAGUCGGACUAAUACCGUAUGUUGUCCAUUGACGGCAUCCGAUUUGGACGAAAGGUUUGGCGGUGAAGGAUGGGGAUGCGUCCGAUUAACUGGACGGCGGGGUGACGGCCCACCGUGGCGACGAUCGGUAGGGGUUCUGAGAGGAAGGUCCCCCACACUGGAACUGAGACACGGUCCAGACUCCUACGGGAGGCAGCAGUGAGGAAUAUUGGUCAAUGGGCGUAAGCCUGAACCAGCCAAGUAGCGUGCAGGAUGACGGCCCUAUGGGUUGUAAACUGCUUUUAUGCGGGGAUAAAGUGGCCCACGUGUGGGUUUUUGCAGGUACCGCAUGAAUAAGGACCGGCUAAUUCCGUG